rnacentral:rRNA from 1 species
UUGAGAAAAAUCUUUUUGUUUAGUAUAUGUAAAGAAAAACUUUUAUUGUUAUAGUAAAUUAGUACUGUGAAGGAAUAGGAUGAAAUAGUUAAAAAUUAUUUUUUAAUAAGUAUACUUAAUUUGUAGUACCUUUUGUAUCAGGGUUAAUCAAAUAUAUUAAUAUAUCUUUUUAUCUCGAUUUCAAAAGAGCUAAUGUAUUAUUUUAUUUAAUGUUGAAUAAUUAUUAAUAAUAUAUAUUAGAGGAGAAAUUUUAUUCGGUUUUGAAGGUAUCUAGUUUUUUAAGAAAUAAAUUUAAUUUAAUUUCAUUAUUUAAUUUUUUUAUUAUCAUAUAAAUUACUUAUUGAAGUAAAAAUUAUAGGGGAUAAGCUCUAUAUUAUUCUAUAAAAAUUUUAAUUAAUUAAUUUUUGUAGGGUUAAAAUUAUCCAUCAUUAGAAAGUGUGUUAUAAUUUAUAUUUAUUAUUAAUUAAUUUUAUUUUUUUUUAGAAAAUUAUUAAAAUAACAAAGUGAAUUUUUUACUUUGGGAAAUAAUGAUUAAAUUAGUAUAAAAUAUUGUUUAUUAUAUUAUUAAUAUUCAUGAUAAAAUAAGGAACUCGGCAAAUAUAGUUCUCGCCUGUUUACCAAAAACAUGGCCUUUUGAAAUUAAUAUAAGGUCUGACCUGCCCAGUGAUAAUUUUAACGGCCGCGGUAUACUGACCGUGCAAAGGUAGCAUAAUCAUUAGUCUUUUAAUAGAGGGCUGGAAUGAAAGGUUUAACGAGGAACUGACUGUCUCAUUUUAUUUGUUUUAAAAUUUAAUUUUUUAGUUAAAAAGCUAAAAUUCUAUUGGUAGACGAGAAGACCCUAUAGAGCUUUACAUUAAUUUAUUUUGAUAUUUUUAUAUUAAUAUUUCUAAUUAAAUUUAUGUUUUGUUGGGGUGACAAAAAUAUAUAAUUAACUAUUUUAUUUAAUUAACAUUGAUUUAUGAAUAUUAGAUCCAUUAUUAUUGAUUAUUAGAUUAAGUUACCUUAGGGAUAACAGCGUAAUCUUCCUCCAGAGUUCAUAUCUACAGGAUGGGGUUGCGACCUCGAUGUUGGAUUAAGAUAAUAGUUAGGUGUAGCCGCUUAAUUAAUAGGUCUGUUCGACCUUUAAAAUCUUACAUGAUCUGAGUUCAGACCGGUUUAAGCCAGGUCGGUUUCUAUCUCCAAUUUCAUUCAGUUUUUAGUACGAAAGGACCAAAAUUGUAAAAUAAUUUUUUUUACUUGAUUAAUAUUAACUAUUUUGGCAGAAAAGUGCCAUGAAUUUAGAAUU